rnacentral:rRNA from 1 species
UACGUAGGUGGCAAGCGUUAUCCGGAAUUAUUGGGCGUAAAGAGUGAGCAGGCGGCCUUUUAAGUCUGAAGUCAAAUGCAGUGGCUCAACCACUGUCCGCUUUGGAAACUGAGAGGCUAGAGUACGAGAGAGGUAUAUGGAAUUCCAUGUGGAGCGGUGAAAUGCGUAGAUAUAUGGAGGAACACCAGUGGCGAAGGCGAUAUACUGGAUCGAUACUGACGCUCAGUCACGAAAGCGUGGGUAGCAAAUAGGAUUAGAUACCCUAGUAGUCCACGCCGUAAACGCUGAGAACUAAGUGUUGGGGUGAAACCCAGCGCUGAAGCUAACGCAUUAAGUUCUCCGCCUGAGGAGUACGGUCGCAAGACUGAAACUUAAAGGAAUUGACGGGGGCCCGCACAAGCAGUGGAGCAUGUGGUUUAAUUCGAAGCUACGCGAAGAACCUUACCAGGGCUUGACAUAGUUCUAAGACUCUAGAAAUAGAGGGAUAUACAGAACAUACAGGUGGUGCAUGGUU